CCGCCGGCUUCUCUUGCACCCAGCUCCUCCUCCCCGUGCCUUCCUUCCUCCCGUCUCGUUCUCCAAUCAUCGACUUCCCUGUCCAGUCAAGGCGCUCGGAGGUAGUACCGGGGCAAGUACCACCGGUGCGACGUCCAGGCCGGCCCACACCGUCCGGGGGUUCCGUGCUCGGCUAGACCUGACGAUCUAGCUGCCGGAUCCACCGCGGCAGCAACGCCGGCUGCUACCUCCUCUCCGACCCCGACCACCACACCACCUCAACUCCAGCGCGAGACCCUCUACUCUAUCCAUCCUUUCCGUCCACGGCCAGAACCAGCAAUCCUGCUGCCGGAUCGGUGGCGGCGGUUCCUCAUGGUGGCGUCCCCUGCCAUCUCGCUUCAGCCUCCUCCCGACGACGCGCCGGGGGGCUGGGUCCAGGGCCGGCCCUUGGCCAUGGCAAUGAGUGCAGCCGCCUAGGGCCCAGGUCAAGCAGGGGGCCAUACUGCCCUACUUCAUGUAUACACGUAUGAGUAGAAGAAAAGGACCCCAGCCUUUUGUUCUUCCAUCUUAAAAGUAUCCUAAGGAGACUGAUGAAGCAGCACAUUCGGUGAUUGGCCAGUGAGGCGUUGACAGCAGCCCACGUCCACAGGUUAGUUGUUUCUCUUCUGGAUUGCCCAUCUUUCCUUGUUGAUUGCGAAUUUUGUGAAAGAUUUCUUUGCAUGAAAUUGUUGCACAAGUUGUUGCCUCAUAUUAAUGGUGAUCAAGUAUCAUCAAAUCAGCACAUGAUGAUUAGAUACUGCUUUGUUAUUAUGUUGUGGGAUUGCUCUGUAGCUACUUGCAUAGAAGGCGUCUGUGCUUUUGUCCAAAACUGCUAUCUGUAGGCACGUCGUAAAAUAUGCCUGCGGCGGUGCUUGCGAAGACCUGCGUGUCCGUCAGGCCCACUAAACCUAACUUGCACUAGGGCUUCCGAAAUGUUAGGGCCGGCCCUGG